GGUUAUAGAAACUUGGUUGUACAAUUAAACGAGGACGGUAUUAUAACAAAUCAAUUUUCUUUUUAUACAGAUUGGAAGGAGAAGCCAUGUCUGAUGCAAAAUGUCGAUUCUAAUUUAUGUGUUCUUUAUCCCAGAUACAGUUCUAAUAAAAAGGUGCAUUUCAUAAAUCUCUUAAAAGCAGCCAAUAAUAAAUGUGAAACAAUACAAUCCUUUGAAGGAAUACUUGGGUAUGAUCCUUCUAACCAUUUUGAGUGUCAAGGAAUAUGCACAGAUAAUAAGAAUAUAUUUGUGUCCGAUCUUCGGCAUCAUAGCGUUUACACACUGGACAAAAAAGACCUAAACUAUGAAAAAUGUGUUGCAGAUGCCGGAAACGGACUAGAUACACCAACAGCUAUUGCAAUUGUUAAUGACCUUUUGUGGAUCGCAGAUAGAGAUCAAAUUUUUAAAUUCGAUUUGAACAACAAAAAAACAAUACAUGUAUAUAGUAGCAAAGCAAACGACCUUGUUUAAAGAGGAGUUGUUCAGUAAGUAAUCAAUCAUAUAUUAGGAACCUUUAUACAAAUAAAGAGUAAAUUAAUUCAUUGAAUGCACACAUUUGUUUUGUUU
rnacentral:lncRNA from 1 species